ensembl:rRNA 5S_rRNA 5S ribosomal RNA
GGGCAUGUGUUCAUUACACUGAAUGCACCCAAUCUUGUCUGAUGUCAGAAACUAAACAGUCCCAGGCCUGGCUAGUACUUUGGAUUCCCAGGUGAACUCCCAUCCAGGUGCUUU